rnacentral:rRNA from 1 species
GAUGAACGCUGGCGGCGUGCCUAAUACAUGCAAGUCGAGCGAACGGACGAGAAGCUUGCUUCUCUGAUGUUAGCGGCGGACGGGUGAGUAACACGUGGAUAACCUACCUAUAAGACUGGGAUAACUUCGGGAAACCGGAGCUAAUACCGGAUAAUAUUUUGAACCUCAUGGUUCAAAAGUGAAAGACGGUCUUGCUGGCACUUAUAGAUGGAUCCGCGCUGCAUUAGCUAGUUGGUAAGGUAACGGCUUACCAGGGCAACGAUGCAUAGCAGACCUGAGAGGGGGACCGGCCACCUGAGACUGAAACCCGGCCCAAGACCCUAAGGGGGGCCGGAGUUAGGAAUUUUCCCAGAUGGGGGGAAGCCUUCACGAGGGACGCCGGCUGGGUUAAAAAAGGCUUCGGAACGGAAAACUCUUUUAUUUGGGGAAAACAUAUGUUGAAGUAACUGGUCACAUUUUGGCGGUAACUAAAGAAGAAGCCACGGCUAACUACGUG